UCUAUAUACCCAGACACCCUGAGGUCUCCUCCUGUACCCCUCUAUAUACCCAGACACCCUGAGGUCUCCUCCUGUACCCCUCUAUAUACCCAGACACCCUGAGGUCUCCUCCUCUACCCCUCUAUAGACCCAGACACCCUGAGGUCUCCUCCUCUACCCCUCUAUAGACCCAGACACCCUGAGGUCUCCUCCUCUACAGACCCAGACACCCUGAGGUCUCCUCCUGUACCCCUCUAUAUACCCAGACACCCUGAGGUCUCCUCCUCUACCCCUCUAUAUACCCAGACACCCUGAGGUCUCCUCCUGUACCCCCUAUCGGUCUCUCUCCUCUCUCUCUCUCUACACUACAACAGUAAUUUAGUAGCCUACUGUAGUGGGAUCUGUCUCUGUAUCCACAGCAUCUGAGUUGGAGUGCUGAUCCAGGAUCAGGUUCCAACCUGUCCAUAUAAUCUGAUUCAUUAUGAGCUAAAAGGCAAAACUGAUCCUACAUUAUGAAUCACUCCAUACUAGAUACUCUGAGAAGCUUUGAGGAUAGAGGCCGAGUCCCCCAGUCCUGGUGGCUAAACUGAUCCUAGAUCAGCACUGCUGCUCUGAGAAGCUUUGUGGAAACAGGCCCAGUCCCCCAGUCCUGGUGGCUAAACUGAUCCUAGAUCAGCACUGCCGCUCUGAGAAGCUUUGUGGAUACAGGCCCAGUCCUGGUGGCUAAACUGAUCCUAGAUCAGCACUGCUGCUCUGAGAAGCUUUGUGGAAACAGGCCCAGUCCCCCAGUCCUGGUGGCUAAACUGAUCCUAGAUCAGCACUGCUGCUCUGAGAAGCUUUGUGGAUACAGGCCCAGUCCUGGUGGCUAAACUGAUCCUAGAUCAGCACUGCCGCCUGAGAAGCUUUGUGGAUACAGGCCCAGUCCUGGUGGCUAAACUGAUCCCAGAUCAGCACUGCUGCUCUGAGAAGCUUUGUGGAAACAGGCCCAGUCCCCCAGUCCUGGUGGCUAAACUGAUCCCAGAUCAGCACCGUUUUUUGUUUAGUUUGUUUUUUUAUGUUGAAAACAUGUAUCCAUUGUUGGCAAUCAGUCAGAAAAGACCUGUUUAAUAUGUUAUAUAUACAGCAUUGACUAUGGCUCUAUUUUUAAAUGAAGAACGUGUGUGUGUCCAAAGGUGAUGGAGAAUGAACUAUUAACUGGCAUUAUAAUGAUGUGGUCAAAUGUCUUGGGAAUCAUGGUUGGAUUAAAUACCAGAAUGAAUUAA